rnacentral:lncRNA from 1 species
AAGAGAGAGAGAGCAUGUUUUUGCAAAGCUGCAGAGAUUGCUGUAACUGAGGUCAACAGCAAACUCCUAGUGCUUUUAAAAAUUGAUUUUACUGAAAUCUUACUCCAUUUUCCUAGUAAUAAAGGCCUCCAAGGAUUUAAACUGCUGUAACUGAGAGCAGUGUUUGGCCCUGGUCUCUAAGUAGGUGUGGCAUAGCUCCAUUAUAACUCCAGUGCAAAUAACAUUCUUUAAAAACGGAGACCCCUUCCUAACAUUUUAGUAAGCAACCUCUUGUUUCUUCUUGUAAAAGCUUGGAGGUCAUGAGCUUAGGCUUCUUAGAGGCUUUAGCAGUUUAUCUGUCUCCUUUGCAAAAGGUCUAAAAUUAAACACGUGGAAGGAAUAUAAAUAUAUUUGCUUAUCUGACAAAUCCAGUUCAGAUUGCUUCAUUAAAAAAAUGAAAUUAAAAAACAUAUUUUCAAAACCUAAAUUAUUUAAUUUAUUUAAUUUGAGACAGAAUGUUUGAUGAUUCUAUAUAAAAUAAUAGAAGAUGCUACCUUAAUUAUUUGACUGUUCCAAAACUCACUAGAAUCUUUCACAGCUUUCCUAAAGAAAGCUAAAAGGCAGGUGCCCUUUAAUAUAUAAAUGCUUGUGAAAUUUACAAAACAGCAAAUGUAGAAAUGGGUAAUAUUAUAAUUUGUGAAUUUAAUUAAAAGAAGAAACAAAAACCACAAGAGCAACGGCAAUCUGGACUUGUUCUAUAGAUGGUCUGACCCUAUCUUCUGUCUUUCAGUGAAUGUUGUCUCCUCUGGGUCGCAGAUCUCAGGCUAUCACAUUCCUCUGAAGGAGUCUGCGUGGUUCUCCAUUCUUAAGUGGCGACGGAGGUUAUAGUCUUGGCACUAGCUGUGAUUUAUCUCAGCAGCUCUCACUUCUGUAUAUGCCGCAGUUCUUUCUCUGGGCAACAUCUUUUGCAGAAACUGCAAUUCUUCAUUGCCCAAGUGGCCAUAGAGGAUUAAUGAAAAGCUACCUCAUCAGUUCUGGCAAAGUGAUUAACUCAUUAUCAUCAAGAAGAAAACACUGGAAGACUUAA